rnacentral:rRNA from 1 species
AGUGAACGCUGGCGGUAGGCCUAACACAUGCAAGUCGAACGGCAGCACAGUAAGAGCUUGCUCUUACGGGUGGCGAGUGGCGGACGGGUGAGGAAUACAUCGGAAUCUACUUUUUCGUGGGGGAGAACGUAGGGAAACUUACGCUAAUACCGCAUACGACCUACGGGUGAAAGCAGGGGAUCUUCGGAUCUUGCGCGAUUGUAUGAGCCGAUGUCGGAUUAGCUAGUUGGCGGGGUAAAGGCCCACCAAGGCGACGAUCCGUAGCUGGUCUGAGAGGAUGAUCAGCCACACUGGAACUGAGACACGGUCCAGACUCCUACGGGAGGCAGCAGUGGGGAAUAUUGGACAAUGGGCGCAAGCCUGAUCCAGCCAUACCGCGUGGGUGAAGAAGGCCUUCGGGUUGUAAAGCCCUUUUGUUGGGAAAGAAAAGCAGCAGGUUAAUACCCCGCUGUUCUGACGGUACCCAAAGAAUAAGCGCCGGCUAACUUCGUG